CAGUUGGUGAGGUAAGGGCUCACCAUGGCGACGAUCCCUACCUGGUCUGAGAGGAUGAUCAGCCACCUGGAACUGAUACUCGGUCCAGACUCCUACGGAAGGCAGCAGUGGGGAAUAUUGCACAAUGGGAGCAAGCCUGAUGCAGCCCUGCCGUUUGUAUGAAGAAUGCCUUCGGGUUGUCAAUUACUUUUUCAGCGCUGAGAAGUGGUGUCGUAAUAGCGGCAUCAUUUGACGUUAGCUGCAGAAGAAGCACCCGCUAACUCCGUGCCAGCAGCCGCGGUAAUACGGAGGGUGCGAGCGUUAAUCGGACUUACUGGGCGCAAAGCGCAUGCAUGUGGUUUGUUAAGUCAGAUGUGAAAGCCCGGGGCUCAACCUCGGAAUUGCAUUUGAAACUGGCAGACUAGAGUACUGUAGAGGGGGGUAGAAUUUCAGGUGUAGCGGUGAAAUGCGUAGAGAUCUGAAGGAAUACCGGUGGCGAAGGCGGCCCCCUGGACAGAUACUGACACUCAGAUGCGAAAGCGUGGGGAGCAAACAGGAUUAGAUACCCUGGUAGUCCACGCCGUAAACGAUGUCUACUUGGAGGUUGUGGCCUUGAGCCGUGGCUUUCGGAGCUAACGCGUUAAGUAGACCGCCUGGGGAGUGCGGUCGCAAGAUUAAAACUCAAAUGAAUUGACGGGGGCCCGCACAAGCGGUGGAGCAUGUGGUUUAAUUCGAUGCAACGCGAAGAACCUUACCUACUCUUGACAUCCAGAGAAGCCAGCAGAGAUGCAGGUGUGCCUUCGGGAGCUCUGAGACAGGUGCUGCAUGGCUGUCGUCAGCUCGUGUUGUGAAAUGUUGGGUUAAGUCCCGCAACGAGCGCAACCCUUAUCCUUGUUUGCCAGCACUUCGGGUGGGAACUCCAGGGAGACUGCCGGUGAUAAACCGGAGGAAGGUGGGGACGACGUCAAGUCAUCAUGGCCCUUACGAGUAGGGCUACACACGUGCUACAAUGGCGCAUACAGAGGGCGGCCAACUUGCGAAAGUGAGCGAAUCCCAAAAAGUGCGUCGUAGUCCGGAUUGGAGUCUGCAACUCGACUCCAUGAAGUCGGAAUCGCUAGUAAUCGUGGAUCAGAAUGCCACGGUGAAUACGUUCCCGGGCCUUGUACACACCGCCCGUCACACCAUGGGAGUGGGCUGCAAAAGAAGUGGGUAGUUUAACCUUCGGGGGGACGCUCACCACUUUGUGGUUCAUGACUGGGGUG
rnacentral:rRNA from 1 species